GAUGAACGCUGGCGGCGUGCCUAAUACAUGCAAGUCGAGCGAACGGACGAGAAGCUUGCUUCUCUGAUGUUAGCGGCGGACGGGUGAGUAACACGUGGAUAACCUACCUAUAAGACUGGGAUAACUUCGGGAAACCGGAGCUAAUACCGGAUAAUAUUUUGAACCGCAUGGUUCAAAAGUGAAAGACGGUCUUGCUGUCACUUAUAGAUGGAUCCGCGCUGCAUUAGCUAGUUGGUAAGGUAACGGCUUACCAAGGCAACGAUGCAUAGCCGACCCGAGAGGGUGAUCGGCCACACUGGAACUGAGACACGGUCCAGACUCCUACGGGAGGCAGCAGUAGGGAAUCUUCCGCAAAGGGCGAAAGCCUGACGGAGCAACGCCGCGUGAGUGAUGAAGGUCUUCGGAUCGUAAAACUCUGUUAUUAGGGAAGAACAUAUGUGUAAGUAACUGUGCACAUCUUGACGGUACCUAAUCAGAAAGCCACGGCUAACUACGUG
rnacentral:rRNA from 1 species